rnacentral:rRNA from 1 species
AUUGAACGCUGGCGGCAUGCCUUACACAUGCAAGUCGAACGGUAACAGGUUAAGCUGACGAGUGGCGAACGGGUGAGUAAUACAUCGGAACGUGCCCAGUAGUGGGGGAUAGCCCGGCGAAAGCCGGAUUAAUACCGCAUACGACCUAAGGGUGAAAGGGGGGGAUCGCAAGACCUCUCGCUAUUGGAGCGGCCGAUGUCAGAUUAGCUAGUUGGUGGGGUAAAAGCUCACCAAGGCGACGAUCUGUAGCUGGUCUGAGAGGACGACCAGCCACACUGGGACUGAGACACGGCCCAGACUCCUACGGGAGGCAGCAGUGGGGAAUUUUGGACAAUGGGCGCAAGCCUGAUCCAGCCAUGCCGCGUGCGGGAAGAAGGCCUUCGGGUUGUAAACCGCCUUUGUCAGGGAAGAAAUCCUUUGGGUUAAUACCUCGGGGGGAUGACGGUACCUGAAGAAUAAGCACCGGCUAACUACGUG